rfam:Phialocephala subalpina strain TAMH 11012 genome assembly, contig: PAC_scaffold_013
ACAUACGACCAUAGCUCGAGGAGAAUUGGGCAUCCCGUCCGCUCUGCCAUGCACAAGCCUCGAAGCGGAGAAUCAGUAGUUGGGUGGGUGACCACCAGCGAAUCCUCUCUGUUGUAUGUC